GUGAGAUAACACCACUAUAUCACGAUACUGGAGAUAAUGAACAGCUCGGGGUGAGAACACCACUAUGUCACGAUACUGGAGAUAAUGAACAGCUCGGGGUGAGAACACCACUAUAUCACGAUACUGGAGAUAAUGAACAGCUCAGGGUGAGGUAACACUACUAUAUCACGAUACUGGAGAUAAUGAACAGCUCAGGGUGAGGUAACACUACUAUAUCACGAUACUGGAGAUAAUGAACAGCUCAGGGUGAGGUAACACUACUAUAUCACAAUACUGGAGAUAAUGAACAGCUCAGGGUGAGAUAACACUACUAUAUCACGAUACUGGAGAUAACGAACAGCUCAGGGUGAGGUAACACUACUAUAUCACGAUACUGGAGAUAAUGACCAGCUCGGGGUGAGAUAACACUACUAUAUCACGAUACUGGAGAUAAUGAACAGGGUGAGGUAACACCACUAUAUCACGAUAUUGGAGAUAAUGAACAGGGUGAGAACACCACUAUAUCACGAUACUGGAGAUAAUGAACAGGGUGAGAACACCACUAUAUCACGAUACUGGAGAUAAUGAACAGCUCAGGGUGAGGUAACACUACUAUAUCACGAUACUGGAGAUAAUGAACAGC
ensembl:lncRNA